ACAUUAUAAUAGUAAAAUUUCCAGAAAACUACAUGAAUUUGAAAGAACCACCAGGAAGUCUCUUUUGCUUCUUGUUGUAUUACAGAAAGAAGAUAAAUCACUUCAAAAUCAUCAGAAAGAAAAGGCGAAAAAUGCCUAAAGUAUUAAAGUCAGGAUCAUUCUCAACUGAGAAGAAUCCACAGUAAUUUUUCUUCAAGGAAAAACAAAACACGCACAUCUUUCCUGCCCUGUGAAGCAAAUGAAUCUUAGGUAUUUUCUAGCAAUAAAGGAUAU
rnacentral:misc_RNA from 1 species